UACGUAGGGGGCAAGCGUUGUCCGGAAUCAUUGGGCGUAAAGAGCGUGUAGGCGGCUCGGUAAGUCCGCUCUGAAAGCCCGGGGCUCAACCCCGGGAGGCGGGCGGAUACUGUCGGGCUAGAGUCCGGAAGAGGCGAGUGGAAUCCUGGUGUAGCGGUGAAAUGCGCAGAUAUCAGGAGGAACACCAAUGGCGAAGGCAGCUCGCUGGGACGGUACUGACGCUGAGACGCGAAAGCGUGGGGAGCAAACAGG
rnacentral:rRNA from 1 species